GACGAACGCUGGCGGCGUGCCUAACACAUGCAAGUCGUACGGGACCGGGGGCAACUCCGGUUCAGUGGCAGACGGGUGCGUAACACGUGAGGAACCUGUCCGGUGGCGGGGGAUAGCCGGCCCAACGGCCGGGUAAUACCGCAUACGCUCGUUCAGGGGCAUCCCUGGGCGAGGAAAGCAGCCGCAAGGUUGCGCCGACGGAGGGCCUCGCGACCUAUCAGCUUGUUGGCGGGGUAACGGCCCACCAAGGCGACGACGGGUAGCUGGUCUGAGAGGAUGAUCAGCCACAUUGGGACUGAGACACGGCCCAGACUCCUACGGGAGGCAGCAGUGGGGAAUAUUGCGCAAUGGCCGCAAGGCUGACGCAGCGACGCCGCGUGUGGGAUGACGGUCUUCGGAUUGUAAACCACUGUCAGGGGGAACGAAUACAGGGCUUCGAUAAGGAGACCC
rnacentral:rRNA from 1 species